GAUGAAGAACGCAUCGAAAUGCGAUAAGUAAUGUGAAUUGCAGAAUUCAGUGAAUCAUCGAAUCUUUGAACGCACAUUGCGCCCGCCAGUAUUCUGGCGGGCAUGCCUGUCCGAGCGUCAUUUCAACCAUCAAGCCCCGGGCUUGUGUUGGGGACCUGCGUCCGACGCAGGCCCUGAAAACCAGUGGCGGGCUCGCUGUCCACACCGAGCGUAGUAACUAACCUCGCUAUGGAGUGGCGCGGGCGCCUGCCGUAAAACCCCCAAUUUCACAAGGUUGACCUCGGAUCAGGUAGGAAUACCCGCUGAACUUAAGCAUAUCAAUAAGCGGAGGA
rnacentral:misc_RNA from 1 species